rnacentral:rRNA from 1 species
UACGGAGGGUGCGAGCGUUAUCCGGAAUCAUUGGGCGUAAAGCGCGCGUAGGUGGCUCCAUAAGUCCGUUGUGAAAGUCAAAGGCUCAACCUUUGAAAGCCGAUGGAUACUGUGGAGCUAGAGUACGGAAGAGGCGAGUGGAAUUCCUGGUGUAGCGGUGGAAUGCGUAGAGAUCCGGAAGAACACCAGUGGCGAAGGCGGCCCGCUGGGCAGUGGCUGAUGCUGAGGCACGAAAGCGUGGGGAGCAAACAGG